GAAUUCAGUUCGCAAUAUCGCACUCUUACGAAGAAUAUCUCUAUUUUUUUACGAGAAAUAGAGGUUUGCGUACCAGUUGAACGAGCCGUCACGGAGGGAGCUUCCUUGAUGUUAUUCUCAACGGUCGACAUUGUGGAGUCAGGAUCGUCGAUAACUCCUUCAGAUCCCGUACGUGAAGAGCCAGCGCGUCUCUCGCUUAGGUUGUCGCUGGACAGACUUCUGCGGAACUCGUGGUGACUUGAACCGAAGGAUGGAUCAAGCCCGCCACCAAUACUCGGAAGUUGUUCGUCGCUUGGACGAAUGCUCUCCCCCUUCUUGGCGCGUUUCCAUUGUUCAUCAGAAGACGGUGAUAUGUGACCAGGGAUAUAUUCAUCUAGCUCGUCUGGCUCAUCAUCAUCGACGUCGAUCUGAAAAUGUUCGUCACUGUCCAUUCCAGGGAGCUUGGAGAUGUCGCCGACGUAGCCUUUUUUCCCGAGGGAGUAGCCGGGCUUUGGAGUGACAGAGCCAUCCUCAUUAAAGAUGAAGUUCUCCUCAGUUGGCAAGAGACCAAAUCGCUUCUUUUUACCGUUGAUGAUGCGGUCAUACUUUUUCCCUCCUCUCGCUGAUAGUAAAAAGAAUAAACAACAUUAGAUUUAUUUUAGUUUCUCUUCACAUGGAAGGGUUAUAUCGAGGAGGUAAAUUACUUUAACCAAGCUUUCUUUUCUAGCUAUAGUAAUUAUUUUUCCGAAACUGGAAUUUUAUAAAUUGAGGCCUGAUAAAUUAAAAGGAUAUGACUAUUCUGUCAAA